GUACCAGCUAUGGCAGUACAUAUUCUAAAAUCGGAACAAUACAGAGAAGAUUAACAUAUCCCCUGUUCAAGGCUGAUAUGCAAAUUCAUGAAGCAUUCCAUAUUCUU